rnacentral:lncRNA from 1 species
AUAAAAGUGCUCUGUAUGAAGUGGUGUAAUCAAGCGUCAUACCAAACAUGAUGCUGCGGAUUCAACCCAUCAAUGAUUCCAACACGAUCAAUGAAAAGCCUACCAACAUACUUCGGAGUCCAGUGUCUCCGCUGAGCGAGUCGUUCUCCCACUGAGCAUGUAUGUUUUUCCACAUACUUUGUUACCCAAAACAUGUUUGUCCCAUUUUCACACUCGCUCUGGCCUUCCAUUGACAACCACUAACCGGACAUGUUGUCACAAGAAGAGUUUUCGUUGACUUGUAU